rnacentral:rRNA from 1 species
UGGGGGAUAUUGCACAAUGGAGGAAACUCUGAUGCAGCGACGCCGCGUGAGUGAAGAAGUAUUUCGGUAUGUAAAGCUCUAUCAGCAGGGAAGAUAAUGACAGUACCUGACUAAGAAGCCCCGGCUAACUACGUGCCAGCAGCCGCGGUAAUACGUAGGGGGCAAGCGUUAUCCGGAUUUACUGGGUGUAAAGGGAGCGUAGACGGAACGGCAAGUUUGAAGUGAAAUACCUGGGCUUAACCCGGGAACUGCUUUGAAAACUGUCGAUCUAGAGUGUCGGAGAGGUAAGUGGAAUUCCUGGUGUAGUAGUGAAAUGCGUAGAUAUCAGGAAGAACACCGGAGGCGAAGGCGGCUUACUGGACGAUAACUGACGUUGAGGCUCGAAAGCGUGGGGAGCAAACAGGAUUAGAUACCCUGGUAGU